GGCCUGUCCGCGGCCGUGGGGGCGUCUGCGCGGCUCCUGCGCGCAAUCAUCAUGGGCGCCCCGGGCUCGGGCAAGGGCACCGUGUAGUCGCGCAUCACCCAGCACUUCGAGCUGAAGCACCUCUCCAGCGGGGACCUGCUCCGAGACAACAUGCUGCGGGGCACAGAAAUUGGUGUGUUAGCCAAGGCUUUCAUUGACCAAGGGAAACUCAUCCCAGACGAUGUCAUGACUCGGCUGGCCCUUCAUGAGCUGAAAAAUCUCACCCAACAUAGCUGGCUGUUGGAUGGUUUUCCAAGGACACUUCCACAGGUGGAAGCCCUAGAUAAAGUUCAUCAGAUAGACACAGUGAUUAACCUGAAUGUGCCCUUUGAGGUCAUUAAACAACGUCUCACUGCUUGCUGGAUUCAUCCAGCCAGUGGCCGCGUCUACAACAUUGAAUUCAACCCUCCCAAAACCAUGGGCAUUGACGAUGUGACUGGGGAGCCUCUCGUUCAGCCUGAGGAUGACCGACCAGAGACAGUUAUCAAGAGACUGAAGGCUUAUGAAGCCCAAACGAAGCCAGUCCUGGAAUAUUACCAGAAAAAAAGGGGUUUUGGAAACAUUCUCCGGAACAGAAACCAACAAGAUUUGGCCCCACGUAUAUGCUUUCCUGCAAACUAAAGUUCCACAAACAAACCAGAAAGCCUCAGUUACUCCAUGAGGAGAAAUGUGUAUAACUA